GCCGGCGUGUUGGAAUGGUAGACAAGACAGACUCAAAAUUUGUUGCAUUGAUUUGUGUGUGGGUUCGAGUCCCACUGCCGGUACCA
rnacentral:tRNA from 1 species